ensembl:lncRNA
AGCACGUCUUUAGCACAACAGAAGGUUCGGUUGGCAGGAGUCUGAAGACUGGACGAGAUGGUGUCACUUGAGCUCUAUGGAGAUUUAAUAAGAGACAUGAUUGAUCAAAACCUCUCGCACGCGGACAUUUCCACGAAUUUAUCACAAUUAGGUGUGCAGCGAUGUUCUGAAAUGAGUGUCAGGAGAUUUUGUGCACAACAUUGUGCAACAUUUCCAGGAGGGGACAUGUAUCCGACACACAAUUAGAAGUUGCUAUCAGCAGGGCAAUAAAUCAGACAGGGUCAACAUAUGGUUGAAAGAUGAUGACCAGGUACCUGUCUGCGAUGGGAGUAGUUGCUGGUGAACGCCAGAUAGGGAGGAUUUUGAAAACAACGCAUUGUCCUUAUCACGAAAUGCACAAAUGUGGUGCACGUAACCUUAACCCCGUCCCCUACAGUGCUGCAUACAUGGGACACAAAAUCCACAUCGACCAGAAUGAAAAACUGGUCAUGUUCGGAGUGACGCACGUUUUUGCAGUAGAUGGGUACAGCAGUAAGGUCGUUGCCCAUGCAACCAUGCCUGUCAAGAAUAACCUCACGAUAUAUGAGGAAGUUUACAGAUCAGCAGUUCUUGAAGAUGGGAUGUGGGACCAGGUCAGGGUGGACCAUGGCCGUGAGUUUUACUUGUCCCUCUACAUGCAGGAGAUGCUGUCUAACCACAGACACAACUUGCAAAGAAUCAUACAGUAGAGCGAAUGUGGGUAGAGAUAAAUAACAGGGUAAAUUAUUCAGUGAAGGAGGCCCUCAUGCAGCUGCAGGAUCAGGAAGUCCUCAACAUGGACGACAACGUGACUAGAUGCUGCACAUCUAACCUUACUGCUGAGCUGUGCAAGAUUGGCAUAACAAGAGCUGUACAUGCAUCAAAUGCACACAGAAUCCCAGAUGUUCAGAGGGAGAUGAUGCCACAUCUGGUCCAGCUGAUGGAAGGUCUUGAAGUUCUCUGACUGGCCUCGACUGAAGAUGGUCGUCUCACUGGAUUUAAGGUUCAGAUGCUCAGUAACAAACUCCACCAAUGUGCCAACAGGGAAGCUUUAGGUUUAUUAAAUGUUGCUGUGAAGGUUUCACUGUUUUUCUUAGUGAAUGCAAUGUGCUCCAACUGAAAGUUGAAUUAGAACUUAGAAGUAAAUCCUUCCAUCUAAUAUCAUGAUUUAUGUAAAUUUACCUCAAUAAUAUGAAUGUUCAGGUUAAGAUUGUACAGUGAUAUUUAUUAUGUAAGUUUAGCUGAUUAAGGUUUAUGACUCUGCACUAAAAUAUUAUUUAAAUUGACAUCAUUAUUAUAAUAUUUAGGGUCAGACCCUACAGUAUUGAGAUUAAGAAAUCAAACAUUCUAUAAAAUGUAAAUACACUGAACUCAUUUGGAUAUACUUAAGUGAGACUCUACAAUAUUAUUUGACACAAAUCUAAAUCAAAAUUUUAAUAAUUUUCACGCCAAACAUUUACUGGACUGAUUUAAUUAUUAAAAUCACUCCUUUCUAAUCCUCUGCUGUACGUUCAAACCUGAGGCCUUAAAUAGAAACACACAAGUAUCUGAUUGAAGGAACUUCUGCAGAGUCCUGGUUCCAGAACAUGAUGAUAGAAUUAUAGACAAACUUUAACAAAAGCUGCCUGAGAGUUUACAGGUUUUUAUGUUGGAUUUCUUCAGUAAUUUAAUGAGCGUUAUCAGCAAAAAUCAAGUGUUCAUUUGAUGAACUUCAUUUCCUAAAACAUCCUGAAUUGAAGCUCAUAUCUUUGGCAGCUGUAAAGUUUCUGCUCCUUCAAAGUUCACAACACAAUGAAUGAAUUCCUAAAACACUCUCAAUGCUGGAGAGCGUUUGAUGCUGAAGCAGUGAUCAGUUUUUCUGUUUCUUCUCUGGAGAUGCACAAUGAGGGACGUCUGCAGAGACUGAGAAAGAGUCUCACCACAUCCUGACAUGAGGAAAAAGACUUUAUUGAAGACUGCAAUGAGAAAAACUAUCAGACAGCAGACGGCUGCAUUCAAGUCUGUAGCUGCUGAAUUCAUGGAUGAAUCAUCUGGCACUAGAGAAGAACACCAUCAAACAUCCACGUCAGCUGAUGGAGGUCCAAGAGUCUCACCGAACAACCAACCUACAGAGUGAAGACCUCAAAUCUGAUUGGACGGCCUCCUAUUCAGCCACAUGUGUGAACAAAUGCCUCUAAGCUGAUUUGUUUUCUAAAAUAAAUCUAGUUUGAGUCCUAAUCUAUGCCUGUGUGUUUGCUUCUUUACACGGCUGUUAACAGUUUAGGCUGUUAGAUUGUUCCAGAUAAGACAAGUACAAGAUACUUCAGAGCCGUUCUACCAGGAGCCUGACAGGAAGAACUCCAACAGCUACUGAAUGUUCCUGUGGUCCCCUCAAGGCUACAGGAGGAGCCCUACGAGGACGAGCCGGUCCACCUGAUGGCGGCCAGUCGCUGCGGUUCAAAGCCAACACCGACUACGUAGACUUCUACUGGACCACACGGAGGCCUUCAAACCGGACCAACAAGUUCCCCGACUCCUCGACUCGUGGGUCUGAGGACGCUGCCGAGCCUCGGUCCAGCCGGCCUCCUGUCUGUGGGUGUUUGAUUGCUGAGAGGUUUGUGGAUGCAUGUGAACGUUCUGUGUUGAAACAGCAGCUUUUGACUCAGUAACGCCGGGAAAAACCAAGAGCGCCUUUAUUUGUGACUUCCACUAAAAAAACUGAUGAAAAUAAGUUUGCCAGGGUUCUGACUGAUAACAGAUUAUUAAAUAAUGAAAAUAAUCCUUUAAAUAUUCCUUUAAACAAUCCUUUUAGGUCUACAUUUCCUUUGCACUGACUUCUUGGUAUAUGUACAAGUAUUUUGGGUGGAAUAUACCAUUAAGCCCGAUGUUCAAGGGUUCUUCUGGGAAUAUACCAUUAAACCAACCUUUUAGGUAAAUGUUCCAGGAUGUUGGGUAGAAUAUACCAUCAGAUAAACCUUUUAGGUCUACAUUGGAAGAUUUUAGAGUAGAAUAUUACUCCAAACCAUCCUUUAGGUCUACAUUUAAGGUGGAAUACUCCUUUACUCCAAGAUUUUUUGGUCUACAUUUAAGGAUUUUAGGUGGAAUAUUCCUUUGAACGAACUUUUUAAGUUUAUGUUAAAGGAUGUUGGGUGGAAUAUACCAUCAGGCCAACCUCCAAGGUCUACAGUAGUGAAUUUUAGGUGGAAUAUACCAUUAAACUCACCUUUUAGGUCUACAUUGGAGCAUUUUAGGUGGAAUUUUCUUCCAAACUGUCUUUUAGUCUACAUUUAAGGAUGUUUAGGAUGGUAUAUUCUUCCAAACCAACUUCUCAGGUCUACAUUUCAGGUGGAAUAUUCCUCCAUAUUAACUUUUUUGGUCUACAUUGAAGGAUUUUUUCUAAACCACCCUUUCGGGUCUAUAUUUGAGGUUUUAGGUGGAAUAUUCCUUUUAACCAGCCCCUCAGGUCUCUUUGAGGAUUUUGGAUGGAAUACUCGGUUAAACCAACAUUUUAGGUGCAUGUACAAGGAUUUUUGGUGGAAUGUUCCUUUAAGGUGGAUGUUUGAGGAACUUGUAGGUGGAAUACUUCCUGAAACCAACCUUUUAGGUCAACAUUCAAAGAUUUAAGGUGGAAUAUUCCUUUAAACCAACCUAAAUUUCAUGUUUUGAUCAUUAUCAAGUGAGAAACCUUAAUCCAGACUCCUCAUAAUGACAUUUGAGAUUUAUGCUGCUGUUAUUUGUUUAGUCCAGAUGAAAUGACAGAAAUCC